rnacentral:rRNA from 1 species
GACGAACGCUGGCGGCGUGCUUAACACAUGCAAGCCGAACGGAAAGGCCCUGCUUUUGUGGGGUGCUCGAGUGGCGAACGGGUGAGUAACACGUGAGUAACCUGCCCUUGACUUUGGGAUAACUUCAGGAAACUGGGGCUAAUACCGGAUAGGAGCUCCUGCUGCAUGGUGGGGGUUGGAAAGUUUCGGCGGUUGGGGAUGGACUCGCGGCUUAUCAGCUUGUUGGUGGGGUAGUGGCUUACCAAGGCUUUGACGGGUAGCCGGCCUGAGAGGGUGACCGGCCACAUUGGGACUGAGAUACGGCCCAGACUCCUACGGGAGGCAGCAGUGGGGAAUAUUGCACAAUGGGCGGAAGCCUGAUGCAGCAACGCCGCGUGCGGGAUGAUGGCCUUCGGGUUGUAAACCGCUUUCGCCUGUGACGAAGCGUGAGUGACGGUAAUGGGUAAAGAAGCACCGGCUAACUACGUG